GUCGAACGCUGGCGGCGUGCUUAACACAUGCAAGUCGAACGGAAAGGCCCUGCUUUUGUGGGUUGCUCGAGUGGCGAACGGGUGAGUAACACGUGAGUAACCUGCCCUUGACUUUGGGAUAACUUCAGGAAACUGGGGCUAAUACCGGAUAGGAGCUCCUGCUGCAUGGUGGGGGUUGGAAAGUUUCGGCGUUUGGGGAUGGACUCGCGGCUUAUCAGCUUGUUGGUGGGGUAGUGGCUUACCAAGGCUUUGACGGGUAGCCGGCCUGCGAGGGUGACCGGCCACAUUGGGACUGAGAGAGGGCCCAGACGGCUACGGGAGGCAGCAGGGGGGAAUAUUGCACAAUGGGCGGAAGCCUGAUGCAGCAACGCCGCGUGCGGGAUGACGGCCUUCGGGUUGUAAACCGCUUUCGCCUGUGACGAAGCGUGAGUGACGGUAAUGGGUAAAGAAGCACCGGCUAACUACGUG
rnacentral:rRNA from 1 species